CCCAUCUUUGAAGACUCAAUUUGAGUCCCAUAUCUUUCUAGGAAACCUUCCCUGGCCUGACGUCCAACUUUCUACCAUACAACACAACACUUGAGAGUCAAAGGCAGAACUGGGAAGGACCUUAGAAAAUAGGACAUCGAAUGUCAAAAGCUGAAAGGGAAUGUGGAACACAAAACAUCAGAACCAGAAGGUAUCCUAGAACACAGACUGUCAAAAGCUGAAAGGGAUUUUGGAACACAAAACAUCAGAACUAGAAGGUAUCCUCGAACACAGACUGACAAAAGCUGAAGGGGAUUUUGGAACAUGAAACAUCAGAACUAGAAGGUAUCCUAGAAUACAGACUGACAAAAGCUGAAGGGGAUUUUGGAACAUGAAACAUCAGAACUAGAAGGUAUCCUAGAAUACAGACUGACAGAAGCUGAAGGGGAUUUUGGAACAUGAAAUAUCAGAACUAGAAGGUAUCCUCGAACACAGACUGACAAAAGCUGAAAGGGAUUUUGGAACAUGAAACAUCAGAACUAGAAGUUUCUACUAUAAAAUGAAAGAGUUAAGAGGAUCUCUUUUCCACCUGUAAAUCCUAAGAGAAAAGACCACUGGAUCUGGUAAUCAGGAUAUCACUGAAAACCUUGGAGACAGUGAGGCAGUAUGAAUAAAAGUUGGACCACCAUUGAUUACUGCGUGCAGUCAAGGGCUGAAGGCAGUGUUUGGAGUCCUGGGGAUGAGUGAGAGAGGACUAUGAUAUCUCUAAAGAAUGAACAGAGAAUCUCGUUCAGUGUACUACUGAACCUCUCGUCCAGUCAGCAUCCCCGUCAGGAAAUCGUUCAACUUUUCCUGGAUACCUCAAGCUCAUUUUCUAACAAGGCAGCACCACUGAAUUGUGGACAGCUCUUCGACCAAAAGUUCUUUUUACUGAACUGAAAUAUGCCUCUUGUUAACUGCUAUUCCACUUGCACUGCUAUUCCAUAUGCACCACAUAUACCAGUCCUAUCCUAUUCUCUGAGAAGCAUAGGGAGGUGUGUAUGUGUGUGUCUUGUGGGAGGAGGGAAUAGAACAAAUCCUGGAUUUGAAUCAAGUCUGAUGCUUCCUAGCUAUGCUACUGUAAGCAAAUUACUUCAGUGGAGACAACACAAGCAGUCCAACAGGGCUACUGUGAAGGCUGAUUAAAAAAGAUAUUUACAAGUAUAUUUACAAUAUAAAGAUAGGAAGAAAGGAAA